ACUACUAUUUUCCAAAAAAACCUCUGCUGUGUAGACACGCCCUGAGUGUGAACAUUCACAGCUGGAACAUUCAUUCAUUUUCUAAUGAGGUUUUAAACAUGAAAGCAAUAAUAUUCAUACCUCGUCUUGCAAUUGCAUCACCAGGAGCAUUGGUUCAAAUUGCAAAUGCUGAAAUAUCGGUAGCUGACAAUCUUAAAUGUGGGCAAAGCAAACCAUGGGAUGAAAUGGUGCCAGCCUGAAUGGUUUAUUCAUUUUCUGCUGGAGCUGCACGUCAGCUUUUCCUGCUCCUUAGCUGGCCACCUACUGCCAUUUCAAUUGCUCAUUCUGGUAAUUUUGCAGUACGUGAGAUGAGUGGGUCUGAAAGAGCACAGCAUUUUGUCAGGAUAUUAACCUCCAUUUCACACUGGUCAAUAUGCAGAGUCCAACUGUCCAGUCUUCUUGUAGGUUUACUUUCCUUAGCUACAUGGGAUUGCUCUGAUCCUCUUCCUAAUGGACUGCCAUCUGAUGCAGAAUGAGAAGAAAAUAUCUACACAUUGCUCAUGCAAAAUUGCUUCUAUGUGGUGGCGCUAGACUAACCCCUGGUUUCUGUUGUUGGAAGCUGAGAUGUCUGAAGUUGAGAUCCCUGCAGAGAAAUGAGUGUGAGAAAGAGGGUUAUAUAUUCAGCAGCUCAAUCCGAUUCUCAGAGGAAAGACUGGGAAAGUUCAGUGUAAUUAGCCUAUUUUUGCAUAAUAACUUUACAGACUUCUCUCUGGGUAGGUCCAUUAGAUAGGGACAAACUUGUGUAUUCUACCGUUGCCCAUAAACAUAGGCAGCAGUUUAAUGGUUAAUGGUUACAAAGAAACGGUAUCCAUUUUGAUCAGUACAUCAAAGUGAAAACUCCCAUGAAUCUCUUACUGUAAUGUACAUUUUAUAAUGACAGUUAACGCUGGCAUUUUCAAGGCUCAUGCUAGAAUUCUGAUGAAAAGUGAACGGAUAUUUGCCUCUUUCCGUGUCAGCACCCACUGUAUAGAAAAUAUCAGUAAACAAAAAUCCACCCCCUGAUUCCCUGCUCCCUUAACAGGAAAAUCCAAGCUUUCUGAUUCGAAUACAUAUUUAAUGUUCUGCACUCUCAUUCUCUCUGUGUGAUGUUAAGCUAGUAUGAAAGCACAAUGGGAGUAACCAUGGCGUCCACAGAGCCGGAUACACACGAGAGAGCUGCUGCUUGGAGGAGCUUUGGAACAGCCAGGCUUAAUGGAACACUGUAUUUUCAGUUUAAAUGGUAAUAAGCAGGUUACAAAGGCUGGUGCACAUCCUUUGAAGAAGUGGUAAACCAAUUAAGAAACGUGCAUUGCUCAAGGGUCCUGAGCAAGGGUUCUUAAACACUAAGCAGAAAAGGAGGCAUGAAAACAAAGUGUUUGUUUAACAGAAAAACUACAGAUUCAAAGAUGAAAUAGCAAGAAAAAAAUAAUAAAUCUUUUAUAGGCAUGGCUACAAGACUUGUCUUUCGCAAGAGCGCUAAGGUACAACUGACCUAGAAGUUAAAUCCUUCCAAUAACACAUCUGCAUCUGCACAUUCUCACCUUAUGUGCAUAAAGAAUUGAAUUGUGGACAUGUUUGUUCAGUCAGGAAUCGUACACAGCCCUUAACUCACCUAUAGGAGAAGAGGGUAAUAGUGCAUUAUCUCUUUGUUUAGUCAUGUAUCAUGUACAGUACUUUAGAUACUGAAUGACAUUCAAAUUUUGGGAGGCUUCUUCCCAUAGAAUUUAAAUAUUAAGAAGGAAAAGAGCAAAGUGAAAGACUGUAGAACCAAAAUUAAUUCUCUAUGCUGGUCAUUCCCUCCAUACUUAGCUACGCAAGCAAACCACUAUUUGUGCAACAUAAAUGAAACCAGUUGUCCUGAAAAGGCUGUAUAUACGAAGUUGCAUCUCCUUAAGCCAGGACUCUCUAGUCCAGCAACAUCCGUGGUCCAAUAGAACCACGGAUGUUCCCAGGUGAGAGCCCCGGUGGCUGGGAGUCAGGCAGUAGGAAGACCAUCAGCUGGGAGCCCUGGAGCCCAGCAGGGCGAGCAGCAGCCCAACAGGGAGGCCAGGCAACAGCAGCAUAAUGGGGGAGGGGGACCAGAGCCAUCACAGUCUGACAACUAGCAGAGCCUGGGCCAGCGGUAGGCUGCCCAGCCAAGGCUGGAAACAGAGCCUGUGGCAGGAUGGGGGGCCAGUGGCAAGGGACCUCCCCUGGUCUGGCAAAUUCCCUUCUUCAGGACCAGUUACGUCCCGAGGGUGCCAGACCAGGUAGGUCUAACCUAUAGUGAUCCUUUAAUUUAAAGCUAGCUUAGAAAGCAAAGAUGGACAAUGUGUACAACAAGCAUUAGCUAUGUUAAUCCACUCUUAAAAACACAGCUGUCCUUUGACAGGUAAAAUGCUCUUCCAUCUUGCAGAGUAAAUCAUACCAAAUCAUGGUUUAAUUAAGUCCUUUGAACUGUGCUAAGGAAUAAGACUUUGGAAACUUUACUUGUUCCCAUCUACACUGCAAGGUGAAAUAAUAUUACUACUUGAGUUGAGACCCCAGGAUUUGACUAUAUAGUGUAGCCAGGACAGAGUCUUUAAAUGCUAAAGUAAGUGUUCAAAUACCACUGUAAUGGGUACCAGGUACACUGAUUUCAGUACAAAUUUUUAGCUAGAGCUAGUUUGUCUUUCAUUUUGAAUACAAACACGCACACAGUACUAGAGUUAAGGGAAUUGUUAUCUGCCUUCCAAAUGAUGAAAAACAUAAUACAUCCUAGACAGAUUAGAAAACAAACAUUUAUUAUACACUGGUAGUUUUACAGAUCUAUAAAAGUGAUCAGCUUUUUCAAAUACACAAUAAAAAUACACAAUUUGAAGACAGAGGCACAUGGUGAAAGUUAAAACUCACAUAGUCUCAUGUUUUUCAGCAUUUGAAAGUCCCCCCACCAUAACUGAACACUCAUGAUAGCACUUUUACAAUAUUAACAAAUUGGACUGAGUUGGCUAUACUGCAGGCACUGCUUACAUCAUCUUGUGUAUCAGUUACAGUCACAAGGAUAACUGAGAAACAAAACUGGCUCUCGUGAAUUACCGUACAUGCAGGAACAAAGAAUAUGGCAAAGAUAAAAGAGCAUGGACAAUCAGAUCAUAAAAAUAUUGUAUCUAGGCACCACAAUACCUUGUGUGAUGCAAUCUACUUUGGCUUUUAAAAGAAGUGCACAAACAAGAGGGCAAGUUACUUUUAUCUUAAAGCCAGCUUGCCAUUUCAUAGUAUCACCAGAUUAACUCACAGGAUCAAUAAAAUCAAGAAUGAAAAGUAAGUGUGUGUCUGUGUGAGAGACAGAGACAGAGAGAGAGAAAUAAAAGGCCAAAUUCUGUAUGUUCUGUCUGCUAUGGAAUCAGUGCAAAUUAGUACUACUACAAGUUAUUUUGUGUCAGGUUUUAGGCCAGCAAGCAACUGAAAUAUAGCUUAGUGGGGAAACCAUUUAUGAAGUGUCUGUAUAUUACAAUAUCUAUCCAAUAUAUGGGAAAUACUGUGAAAUAAUGGCUU